GCCAGGGGUAAUUGGGCUUAUAGAUGGGUCACUUUUCCCCAUCAAAGCUCCGAGUGGCCCAACUGAGCCGGCUUAUGUGUGCCGUAAGGGAUACCAUGCCAUCAAUGUUCAGGCCAUAGGGGACCAAAAUAUGGUUAUACGGCAUUUGUUGGCAAAGUGGCCUGGAUCCACCCACGACUCUUUCAUAUUCAACACCAGUGAUAUCAAUGCAUACCUGAGUGAGGGCAGGGGAAGUGGAUGGCUUUUGGGGGACUCGGGAUAUCCCUUGAAACCCUACCUAAUGACACCAGUCAUGAACGAGCAAACAGAGGCAGAGAGCAGGUACAAUGUGGCACACAAAGGUGCCGUAGCCGUCAGGAGAGGCUAUAUGGUAUAUGGAAAGGAAGAUGGAGAUGCCAUGAUAUGAGCGGGGGAUAUCUUCAAUAUUCCCCGGAGAGAGCAGUGAUGUUCGUGAAGGCCACUGCUGUGUUGCACAACAUAUGCAGGAUUGCUAAUCUCCCGACCCUGAGGACGUCCCGGCCAUGGUUGAAGAUGAGGAGGAAGGCCAUGAUGGC
ensembl:lncRNA